rnacentral:rRNA from 1 species
CGUUUAGGGGUAAACCUGAGAAACCCGAAAGGUCGAAGGGUGAAAUUCAAUGCUGCUAGCGAUAGGAGGCUGGUGGACAGCGUGACGGAAGACGUUCGCGUCAACCGCGCCUUCUGCCAGUCGAGCCGGUUGCGAGCGCGUGCACUUUUCACCUGGUAGGACGCCGCGAUUCGUUGGGCGUCGGUYUACGGUUUGUGGUGGAGCCCGCUUGUCCGUCUCUGGCGCGACGAGCGGACCCGCAUUUCCCGGCCGACUUGCUCGACGGUAUAUGAACGGUUGGUGGCCGCUCUUGCGAGCGUUCGGCCCGUGGCAAGCACGUCAGACCAGUCGGUGAUCGGACCUAGUCCGAUUCUGGCUACUGGCGACUGUUGGCUGCGGUGUUUUCGAACAGACCACUUGACUCAACAAAACCGAUCAGCGACGCUAUAGCUUUGGGUACUUUCAGGACCCGUCUUGAAACACGGACCAAGGAGUCUAGCAUGUGCGCGAGUCAUUGGGAUUCACUAAACCUAAAGGCGCAAUGAAAGUGAAAGUUUGUGCUUGCACAGACCGAGGGAAGAUGGGUGGCUCGCCCUUAAAAGCGACCGCUCAGCACUCCCGGGGCGUCUCGUUCUCAUUGCGAGAGGAGGCGCACCAUGAGCGUACACGCUGGGACCCGAAAGAUGGUGAACUAUGCCUGGU